UACGGGGGGGGCAAGCGUUGUUCGGAAUUACUGGGCGUAAAGGGCUCGUAGGCGGCCAACUAAGUCAGACGUGAAAUCCCUCGGCUUAACCGGGGAACUGCGUCUGAUACUGGAUGGCUUGAGUUUGGGAGAGGGAUGCGGAAUUCCAGGUGUAGCGGUGAAAUGCGUAGAUAUCUGGAGGAACACCAAUGGCGAAGGCAGCUCGCUGGGACGUGACUGACGCUGAGACGCGAAAGCGUGGGGAGCAAACAGG
rnacentral:rRNA from 1 species